AUUGAACGCUGGCGGCAUGCCUUACACAUGCAAGUCGAACGGCAGCACGGACUUCGGUCUGGUGGCGAGUGGCGAACGGGUGAGUAAUGUAUCGGAACGUACCUUUCAGUGGGGGAUAACGUAGCGAAAGUUACGCUAAUACCGCAUAUUCUGUGAGCAGGAAAGCAGGGGAUCGAAAGAUCUUGCGCUUAUUGAGCGGCCGAUAUCAGAUUAGCUAGUUGGUGGGGUAAAGGCCUACCAAGGCGACGAUCUGUAGCGGGUCUGAGAGGAUGAUCCGCCACACUGGAACUGAGACACGGUCCAGACUCCUACGGGAGGCAGCAGUGGGGAAUUUUGGACAAUGGGGGCAACCCUGAUCCAGCCAUGCCGCGUGAGUGAAGAAGGCCUUCGGGUUGUAAAGCUCUUUCGGCCGGGAAGAAAUCGCAUAGGCUAAUACCCUGUGUGGAUGACGGUACCGGAAUAAGAAGCACCGGCUAACUACGUG
rnacentral:rRNA from 1 species